CCGAACGGAUCGCAUUAUGAUCAUAUUAUUAUGAUUGGCGAUAGAUCAUUCAAGUUUCUGACCUAUCAGCUUUCGACGGUAGUGUAUUGGACUACCGUGGCAGUGACGGGUAACGGGGAAUUAGGGUUCGAUUCCGGAGAGGGAGCCUGAGAAACGGCUACCACAUCUAAGGAAGGCAGCAGGCGCGCAAAUUACCCAAUCCUGACUCAGGGAGGUAGUGACAAGAAAUAACAACACUGGAAAUUUUAUUUCUAGUGAUUGGAAUGAUGGGAAUCCAAACCCCUUUCAGAGUAACAAUUGGAGGGCAAGUCUGGUGCCAGCAGCCGCGGUAAUUCCAGCUCCAAUAGCGUAUAUUAAAGUUGUUGCAGUUAAAAAGCUCGUAGUUGGAUAUCUGCUGGAAGCAAUCAGUCCGCCCUAUUUUAGGGUGUGCACUUGAUGAAUUCUGGCAUCUAUUAUUCUUAAUAUAAUGAUUAUUGAAUUGAUUUUCAAUAAUCAWUAUURRGAAUAAUACAGUUACUUUGAGAAAAUUAGAGUGUUUGAAGCAGGCUUAUUGCCUUGAAUACUGCAGCAUGGAAUAACAAUAUAGGAUUUCGGUUCUAUUAUUUUGUUGGUUUGUAGGACUGAAAUAAUGAUUAAUAGGGACAGUUGGGGGCAUUCGUAUUUAACUGUCAGAGGUGAAAUUCUUAGAUUUGUUAAAGACGAACUACUGCGAAAGCAUUUGCCAAGGAUGUUUUCAUUAAUCAAGAACGAAAGUUAGGGGCUCGAAGACGAUCAGAUACCGUCGUAGUCUUAACCAUAAACUAUGCCGACUAGAGAUAGGAAAAUGUCAUUAUUUCGACUUCUCCUGCAC
rnacentral:rRNA from 1 species